rnacentral:rRNA from 1 species
UACAGAGGUUCCAAGCGUUGUUCGGAUUCAUUGGGCGUAAAGGGUGCGUAGGCGGCGCGGUAAGUCGGGUGUGAAAUCUCGGAGCUUAACUCCGAAACUGCAUUCGAUACUGCCGUGCUUGAGGACUGGAGAGGAGACUGGAAUUUACGGUGUAGCGGUGAAAUGCGUAGAUAUCGUAAGGAAGACCAGUGGCGAAGGCGGGUCUCUGGACAGUUCCUGACGCUGAGGCACGAAGGCUAGGGGAGCAAACGGG